rnacentral:piRNA from 1 species
AUGGAAUUUUGACUUGGGAAGAUU